rnacentral:lncRNA from 1 species
GAGCAGAUCCAGUGGGACGAGCUUCAUGAUUUUUCAUUAACAAAGUAUUAUUCUGAUCUUCCACAAGUAGGCAUGUAAUCAAUUCAGAAUAUUUCUUAAAUCUCUUUUCACGAUAUUGUUGUUGUAGCAAUACAUUAGAAGCAUGAAAAGUGAAAAAAGUUUUCUCUAGUAAGUCCUUAUCAGUGAUGGUUUCUCCACAUAAUCUUAAUAUUGAACUUACUUUAUGAAUAGCAGAAUUAUACUCAACUAC